rnacentral:rRNA from 1 species
UACAGAGGUCUCAAGCGUUGUUCGGAUUCAUUGGGCGUAAAGGGUGCGUAGGCGGCGCGGUAAGUCGGGUGUGAAAUCUCGGAGCUUAACUCCGAAACUGCAUUCGAUACUGCCGUGCUUGAGGACUGGAGAGGAGACUGGAAUUUACGGUGUAGCGGUGAAAUGCGUAGAUAUCGUAAGGAAGACCAGUGGCGAAGGCGGGUCUCUGGACAGUUCCUGACGCUGAGGCACGAAGGCCAGGGGAGCGAACGGG